rnacentral:rRNA from 1 species
UACAGAGGUCUCAAGCGUUGUUCGGAUUCAUUGGGCGUAAAGGGUGCGUAGGUGGCCUGGUAAGUCGGAUGUGAAAUCCCGGGGCUCAACCCCGGAACUGCAUUCGAUACUGCUGCGCUAGAGUACUGGAGAGGAGAUUGGAAUUUACGGUGUAGCAGUGAAAUGCGUAGAUAUCGGGAAGAACACCAAUGGCGAAGGCGCCUUUCUGGUCCGUUGCUGACGCUGAGGCGCGAAAGCCAGGGGAGCGAACGGG